rnacentral:rRNA from 1 species
ACGGAGAAUCAGCAAUGAUUCUUAGUGGCGAACGGGUGAGUAACGCGUAGACAACCUGCCUUCUAGAUGGGGACAACACUGCGAAAGUGGUGCUAAUACCGAAUGUUGUAUUAAGCCUGCAUGGGCUUGAUACUAAAGGUGGCCUCUAUUUAUAAGCUAUCACUAGAAGAUGGGUCUGCGUCUGAUUAGCUAGUUGGUGAGGUAAUGGCUCACCAAGGCGAUGAUCAGUAGCCGGUCUGAGAGGAUGAACGGCCACACUGGGACUGAGACACGGCCCAGACUCCUACGGGAGGCAGCAGUGGGGAAUCUUCCGCAAUGGACGAAAGUCUGACGGAGCAACGCCGCGUGAGUGAAGAAGGUUUUCGGAUCGUAAAGCUCUGUCUUUGAGGACGAAUGUGUCUAAUGUGAAUAAUGUUAGAUAAUGACGGUACUCGAGGAGGAAGCCACGGCUAACUACGUGCCAGCAGCCGCGGUAAUACGUAGGUGGCAAGCGUUGUCCGGAAUUAUUGGGCGUAAAGCGCGCGCAGGCGGGAUAUUAAGUCUGUUUUAAAAGUUCGGGGCUCAACCCCGUGAUGGAAUGGAAACUAAUAUUCUUGAGUGCAGGAGAGGAAAGUGGAAUUCCCAGUGUAGCGGUGAAAUGCGUAGAUAUUGGGAGGAACACCAGUGGCGAAGGCGACUUUCUGGACUGUGUCUGACGCUGAGGCGCGA